rnacentral:lncRNA from 7 species
AGGGUUAGUUCUGAGUGCUUGCUUCUGAGGUCAUUAUUUUGGAGAACCCCAUCUUACAUUUCCUGUGAUCUUUGAAACCUAAUUAGCAGUCUUCCAGAACUGUUGAAAUCGCACCACUGAAUUGACAGAGGUGAAAUUGUUCAGCACCUCAACAAACAGGACAAUUGGAAUCUGUGCAAACCUGAGCCUCUCUUCCUUUUCUGAGGAACAGAUGCUUUAUGGCUCUGGAUCAGUAUCAAGGAUUUUGUUUCUUCAGUUUUAAGAACUUUUCAUCACUUUUUCCUUCUAGCCUGGAAAUGCAACCUUAAAUACUUUACCAGGGAAUGCUUCUGUGUUUGAAAAAUAAUUUUACUCUGUGCCAGCAUCUGCAAUUGAAAUCAGUGUCAAUCCUGAUUCAGUUCUGACUCCCACAGAGGAAUAUUCAUUUUCACCAGGAAUUAUCUUUGUACAUGUGUACACCUAUGGCAUGGAGCUGAAGAAGGAACAAGGAAUUCUGCACCCUUCUACUAUUUGCUCUUCCUUCUCUGAUUCCUUCCAUAGCCUGUAAGGCACAGAGGCAGAAGAACAUGGUCUACCACAAGGUGUCUUUGUCUCACAGGUAGGGUGGAAAUCACAGCCUUGGAUUACUCAGAUGAAUAUAGAAUAUGAACUAAUUAGUAGGGAGGGGUAAAGAUCUGGUAGAUGACUAUUAUUAUGAUUAUUGUGCAACAGAUAAGCAUGUACAGGACUGCAGUGUGUGGGAAGCCGGAAUACAAAAUCUGCCCUUCUGAGUUAGGCAGCAUUGGGUUAAGCUGAGUAUUCUUCUGCCAGUCAUCUUUAAUGUGUGCUGCAUCUGGAAAAUGUGAGAAACCACAACAACAAACCCACCCAUGUGCAGUUCUUAAGAAGAGAGUUGAAGGUGAAACUCCUUCCUGAUCUCCAAGUGAGGAAUGAAAUUUAUCUUCAUUUCUUCUGUCUCAGCAAGUAUUGUGAUAUGAAACAAUCUACUUCAAAUUCUAUGCUUAACUAAGGUAUACUCUUCAUGCCCUAGUGUUUCUCCUCCUCCAACAGUUACUUGGUGUAAAGCUGAUUUUUUUUAUUUGCAUGAAUUCUAUAUUUAAAAAUAUGUAUCUCACAAAACCAAACAAGUGAACAAAGUGUUCAAACAGGUUUCUGAUUCAUGAGCCUUGCUGGAUUUGGAUGUGAUCCCUAAAGAUGGUACUGCCCACGGCUGUCCUGUGUACUUAUGAACUAGCAGUUGCCAAAUCCAUCUUAGAAGAGCAGAACAAGUAGUAUCUACCUGCUAGUUACAUUCCCUGGUCAGUAUAUUAACAAAACUCAGACUGUUUGCAUUAGUCCCUUGGCUUCCAGCGAAGGGAUGGACACAUUACAUUGUCCAUUCUACUAUUCCUGCUGUAGUUUCAGUGUCUUGCAACAGAGUGUAGAUGAGUGUGGUACUAUCUCCGCAUGGCUCCUACGUCAGCAACUUGAUGCCUGUGGUUCUUCCUUCCCCUUUCUCUCUUUUUGAAUUCCCACUUGAUAAUUUGUAGAGGUGUUUGUGAACCUUUAAGCUACUUCAGUGGCAGCACAUUAUAGCCUGAAGUUUUGCAUUCACACAAAUUACACAGAGAAAAUUCUGCGUGACCUCGUAGCAUUGCACUAUUAAAAGGUCUGUAACUCAACUUCAUAUAUUUGUGGUGUGAACUAUCUUGACUAAAAUCAGCUGCUUUCUGAUAAAUUUUGCUGCUCUGAGGGUAACAAUUCUUUUAGCUCUUCUCAUCUUGUUAACAUAAUGCUCAACUUUCUGUACGAUUUGUAUAACUUUACAUAUGACUGUUUAUGCUAAAGCUUUAGUGGAAAAAAAAAAAAUAGUACUGACACUCAAAUUUUAUCCUCUGGGGUUUUUGAAAGCUAUAUAAUUGAUUAUUUAGUGUUCAGAAAUAUUUCUUCUGUGUAUAAGGUGAUUUAUAACCUUAGUUUUAAACAAAUCUUGGACCUAGUUGAGGCUUCCACUUGAGUGGCUGAUUAAACAAAAGGCGGAAACGGUGACAGCUACUGUAUAAUGGAUUUCUGUGAUGAAUUUCCAGAUGAUUGAUCAUUCGUCCAAAAACUUUUGAACUUCAAAUAUUUUUGAACGUUGUCAUGUCGAAGCUGUAACUUAGCCUGAAUAUCUGUGAACAAGAGGUGGCGAGAGCCUAGCAACAGCAGUAGUGAAAUAUACCCUGAAAUAACUUUG